AUGCCGUCACCAGCGGGUGC
rnacentral:scRNA from 1 species